rnacentral:sRNA from 1 species
AUUUUCAGAUAUGCUUUUUCAGCUUAGGUUCACAGCCAAACAACUGGAAAGGCUGGCUAAAAAGGCAGAGAAAGAACAAAAAGUCCAACAAGCUAAAGUGAAGAAAGCCUUACAACAAAAGAAUAUAGAAGGUGCACAGAUCU